rnacentral:rRNA from 1 species
UACGGAGGAUGCGAGCGUUAUCCGGAUUUAUUGGGUUUAAAGGGUGCGUAGGCGGAGUGUCAAGUCAGCGGUAAAAUUUCGGGGCUCAACCCCGUCGUGCCGUUGAAACUGGCAGACUUGAGUUGGCGAGAAGUACGCGGAAUGCGCGGUGUAACGGUGAAAUGCAUAGAUAUCACGCAGAACCCCGAUUGCGAAGGCAGCAUACCGGCGCCCGACUGACGCUGAGGCACGAAAGUGCGGGUAUCGAACAGG